UACAGAGGGGGCAAGCGUUGUUCGGAAUUACUGGGCGUAAAGGGCGCGUAGGCGGCCUUCUAAGUCGGACGUGAAAUCCCUCGGCUUAACCGAGGAACUGCGUCCGAUACUGAAAGGCUUGAAUCCGGGAGAGGGAUGUGGAAUUCCAGGUGUAGCGGUGAAAUGCGUAGAUAUCUGGAGGAACACCGGUGGCGAAGGCGGCAUCCUGGACCGGUAUUGACGCUGAGGCGCGAAAGCUAGGGGAGCAAACGGG
rnacentral:rRNA from 1 species